rnacentral:lncRNA from 1 species
CUGGUUUUGAAUCUCCACGCAGCUUCAGUGUGCCCUACCAGCAGGGUCAUCACACUUCCAGUCCUGUCCUGUGGCUGCCCCUGGCUGAAAUGAUGACCUUUUUUUAGGGCAAGACUGAUAUAGCUCAUGCCAGAGCCCCAACAUCUAGCAUGGAGCCAGCCACUCAGCAAAUGCCUGCUGGGGAAAGAAAGGAUUCCCUUACCAGACGAGUGCCUGGAAUCCAAGACACGUGACCAGUUUCUGAAGGCUGGGAACUCUGAGGCACUGAGAGUAUCAUUCAUGUAACAGGCCCCCCAACGUGGAAAUGUGACCAUGUGCUUCCUAAGACUAUGAGUACCCGUGAUGAUUUUCCAUCAGUUAACUGUUGUAACAGACAGCACCAUAAUUUUAGUAACUAAACACUUGUGUAGGAAAAAGUGACUUGCAUGCUUUGAGGUUAAUAAAGAAAUAAGAAGAAGUAGAUGAUGAGGGCCUCUUACUUGAUUAGUGGGCGGGAAAUUAGGAGGAUUUCAUUAGCUUGGCCUGAGAGUGGCACCAACUUCCACCCACA